AGCAAGUGUGGUUCAGUCAAGACUAGCUAAAAGGUAACGCGGAGGUUCGAUCACGAGGCUAAAUUGCUAAAGAUGUCCGUAGCUAAGAAGUGUGUGCAGAAUGGACAGUGAGGUAAAGGCUGCAGCAGCGGAGGAUCGGGAUUCUCUGCUCGUCCUGCGGCUGAUGAAUGAACUGCGGAGAGGCUGACGCCGCAUGAAUAUGAAAGCCUUGCAGCUCCGCAGGAGUGCCAGCGCAGGCAGACCGUGUGAGAGCCCAUGCGCCUGCAGAAUGCAGUGCGAGCGCUGCCUCAUUACCACUGGGGGAGGAGUGCAAUCAGCAUGCGACAGAGCGAGACAGGAGAGGAGGCACUGUCGGAUGGAUGUGCUGCCGAAGAGACGGACUAAGCUUCAGCCAUGGCCUGCAGAGUGGAUCCAGCCAUCUGCUCCACGUCCAUCCACACCUUUAUGCCAGCGUUCUGCCCGGCCAGGGUCACCCGCAUGAGACAAGACAAGGCACAGAAUGCAUGCAGCUACUGGAGCGGCAGCCUGUACCUGUGCCCCCCUCUCUCACAAGCUGGUCGCCAAGGCUACGUUGACCCUUAUCAUCCUCAUGUUGGAAAUACAACUGGCACAAUUUCUUCAGAAGAUCUACAGCAUCUUCAUUGUCAUACCUAUAAAAGAAAACAUAAAAUAACUUCAAUACUUUGGAAAAGUUACAAGCAUGAAUGCAUGGGAUAUAAUUGCUCUAUUUUAUAUUAAAGCACAUGCAUGUAUGCUUGUGUGUGAGAAUGAUACAGCAUUAAAAUCCUUACACCGGAAUCCUUUGCUCUCCUUCUGUUGUUGCAUGUUCCCCAAUUAACAGAUAAAAUUGAUCUACAUUUACUUGUGUUGAUUUAAACAUGUCCAUGUACAGUAUUGCCGACAUAAUACACAAGGUGACAUGUAAAGCAGACAAAAAUGUACAGUACCUCUUUAGAUCUUUGAGUGAUUUCAAGAUUUCAAGAGCCAUAGUAUGUAAGUCUACUUGAAGAAAAUAUUUCCUUGGCAAAAAAUACAAUUAAACACCAUUAUUACAAUGACUGGACAAAAUCACAUUAGUUUUACAGAAAAAGUCAAUUUGUGUAAAGGCUUCUUAUUUCACUAUGCAGUUAGUAAUAGUCUUACUAAACAGCAUCAUACAAUUUAAAGAAAACAGGAUAAAAUGAAGUACCAAAUAAAGGCAUU